UACGUAGGGGGCAAGCGUUAUCCAGAUUUACUGGGCGUAAAGCGCGUGUAGGCGGCUGGUUAGGCGUGAUGUGAAAUCUUCCGGCUCAACCGGAAAACUGCAUUGCGAACCGGCCUGGCUAGAGUGCAGGAGAGGGAAGCGGAAUUCCAGGUGUAGCGGUGAAAUGCGUAGAUAUCGGGAGGAACACCUGUGGCGAAAGCGGCGCACUGGACCACAACUGACGCUGAGGCGCGAAAGCUAGGGGAGCAAACAGG
rnacentral:rRNA from 1 species